GACGAACGCUGGCGGCGUGCCUAAUACAUGCAAGUAGAACGCUGAAGCUUGGUGCUUGCACCGAGCGGGUGAGUUGCGAACGGGUGAGUAACGCGUAGGUAACCUGCCUGGUAGCGGGGGAUAACUAUUGGAAACGAUAGCUAAUACCGCAUAAGAGUAGAUGUUGCAUGACAUUUGCUUAAAAGGUGCAAUUGCAUCACUACCAGAUGGACCUGCGGUGUAUUAGCUAGUUGGUGAGGUAACGGCUCACCCAGGGAAACAUACAUAGCCGGCCUGAGAGGGUGGACCGCCACACCUGGACCGAGACAACGGCCAGACUCCUACGGGGAGGAGCAGGUGGGAAACAUUGGAAAAUGACGGAAGUCUGAACGAGCAACGCCGCGUGAGUGAAGAAGGUUGUCGGAUCGUAAAGCUCUGUUGUAAGAGAAGAACGAGUAUGAGAGUGGAAAGUUCACACUGUGACGGUAUCUAACCAGAAAGCGACGGCUAACUACGUG
rnacentral:rRNA from 1 species